rnacentral:rRNA from 2 species
GAGACCCCAGGUCAGGCGGGAUUACCCGCUGAGUUUAA